rnacentral:rRNA from 1 species
GGGAAUCAAAACUGGAGAAAAGGAGUUGCUCGGGUAGCUUGGGAUGACAUGACCCAACCCAAAUAUAUGGGGGGCAUGGGCUUCAGAAAGAUGGAGCAAUUUAAUCUUUUGGCCAAUAGGCCAAGAGGGCGGCUCGUUCAACAUCCCAACUCAUUAAGUGCACAAAUAUUGAAGGCAAUUUAUUAUCCAAAUGGAGAUUUCCUUUCAGCUCAAUUGGGAUCUAAACCGUCACAGAUCUGGAUGUCUAUUCAUGAAGGGAGAGAUGUUCUGAAGCAAGGACAUAUAAGGAGAAUUGGUGGUGGAAGAACUACUCACAUAUGGAACAAUCAGUGGCUGCCUAGGGAAACUACAGUGAGACUGGUUGCACCUCGGCAACAAAACAAACUGGAGAUGGAUUUUGAAUUAACUGAGCACACAAAUAGAACGUGGAACCAUGACCUAUUGAACUUGCAUCUUUUGCCCAUGGACGUUGAUGUGGUAUGGUGUGUUCCGCUGCCAUCAACGAACAUGGAUGAUUUUUGGGUCUGGAGCCGGGAAAGAUCGGGUGAAUUCACUGCACGGUCUGCCUAUCGGUUGCUCGUCCAUACCCAAAACAGAGGAGAUGCCUGGUUGGAAGGGAAGGCAGGUAUGUAUAAUUCAAAAAUUGAAGAGUAA